rnacentral:rRNA from 1 species
AGAGUUUGAUCAUGGCUCAGGACGAACGCUGGCGGCGUGCUUAACACAUGCAAGUCGAGCGAGGCCCACCUUUCGGGGUGGUGUUCUAGCGGCGAACGGGUGAGUAACACGUGGGCAACCUGCCCUCAGCUCUGGGAUAACUCCAAGAAAUUGGGGCUAAUACCGGAUAUGACUGCUGACCGCAUGGUCUGGUGGUGGAAAGAUUUAUCGGCUGGGGAUGGGCCCGCGGCCUAUCAGCUUGUUGGUGGGGUAGUGGCCUACCAAGGCGACGACGGGUAGCCGGCCUGAGAGGGUGACCGGCCACACUGGGACUGAGACACGGCCCAGACUCCUACGGGAGGCAGCAGUGGGGAAUAUUGCGCAAUGGGCGGAAGCCUGACGCAGCGACGCCGCGUGGGGGAUGACGGCCUUCGGGUUGUAAACCUCUUUCAGCAGGGACGAAGCGGAAGUGACGGUACCUGCAGAAGAAGCACCGGCCAACUACGUGCCAGCAGCCGCGGUAAUACGUAGGGUGCAAGCGUUGUCCGGAAUUAUUGGGCGUAAAGAGCUCGUAGGCGGUUUGUUGCGUCGGCUGUGAAAUCCCGAGGCUCAACCUCGGGUCUGCAGUCGAUACGAGCAAACUAGAGUGUUGCAGGGGAGACUGGAAUUCCUGGUGUAGCGGUGAAAUGCGCAGAUAUCAGGAGGAACACCGGUGGCGAAGGCGGGUCUCUGGGCAACAACUGACGCUGAGGAGCGAAAGCGUGGGGAGCGAACAGGAUUAGAUACCCUAGUAGUCC